rnacentral:rRNA from 2 species
GUUGACCUCGGAUCAGGUAGGGAUACCCGCUGAACUUAAGCAUAUCAAUAAGCGGAAGGA